rnacentral:rRNA from 1 species
CAAAACUCGGUCCCAGUUCAGAUUGCAGGCUGCAACUCGCCUGCAUGAAGUUGGAAUUGCUAGUAAUCGCGAAUCAGAAUGUCGCGGUGAAUACGUUCCCGGGCCUUGUACACACCGCCCGUCACACCAUGAGAGCCGAUAACACCCGAAGCCUGUGAGCUAACCGUAAGGGGGCAGCAGUCGAAGGGUGGGGUUGGUGAUUGGGGUGAAGUCGUAACAAGGUAUC